AUAUAUAUUUAUAGUUAAUGUGCAGAAUCCAGACCAUGAGUCAUAUAAAUUUGCUCAACUUACUCUUUAUGUUGUUUGCUGCUGGGUCAUAUUUAAGUAUGAAGUUGUUUUUCUUUUUUCUUUUCUUUUUUAAAGUAAGCUCUGUGCCCAGCUUGAGGCUCGAACUCAUGACCCUGAGAUCAAGAGCUGAAUGCUGUACCAACUGAGCCAGCCAAGUGCCCAGAACAGGACACAGAGUAGGAGAGAGAAGUCUGAGGGCAGUGCAUGAGACCGGCUCACUUCUUCCUCGCCGAGGGAUUGUGACCUAAUGCAACCAUGGGCCACCUGGGAAAACAGCAGGCUGUUGCUGUGGACGCUGGAAAGAGCUGAAUUGUCGGUUUGCAGCCUAACUGGGCUUCCGCUGGUCUUUCUGCAAAAUUUCAAGCACCAAUUCGACCGCUUUCUUAUCAACACUGCUGCUCUGUGGGAACAUGUCUUCCUGGUUCAGCCAAGAAUUCUGCUGUCUGGGAUUGUUCAGGACAAAACCACAGUGCCCGUGGGGGGUGGUGUGUCUGUGUAAACUUGAACAUCAGAUUGCACUGGUAGGGCAGGUCCUUUGUUGGCCAGGCUUGACACCUUGUAUUCUUUCUUUCUCAGGCUGUGAAUAGAACAUGAUUUGGCAUCGGCCAAAUCCAUCUGCACAGAGUGAAAAGGAAGGUGCUAGGUGCAGGAGAGGGAGCCGGCAAAAGAGGAGGGAGUGGCUAAAUGAAUGAAAGCCUGAUGAGACCAUUGUGAAGAUUAAAAAGGCCUGUUUGUUAAACUGUGACCCCUUUAAAGGACAGUACAGGUUUUACCAAAGCAAGAACCCAGCCAGGCUACGGCUAAUUGCUGCCAUGUUUCUGAACGGUCUGCCUUUGGUAAGUGAUUUCCAUGGGAACAUGGCUGGCACCACGAGGAUGCGGCCGGAGGACGUGGGGGAGGGGAAGGCAGGGGCCCUCUGUUCACCUCCUCAGUCCCCCUGGCCCCAGCAGUCCCUGAAAUCUCCCUGAGGAUCACAGAGUUCCGGGAGGAAGCUCUGUUCUCGGAGGCAGGGCACCCACGCCUGCACCUUGGCUCAUUGCUCGCCUGGCUAAAUCACAUAGCCUCUCAGCCUUUGCUGAGAUCUCUUGCGUAUUUGGAAUAAAGGCACUAAUAUUCCUGAGCCACUUGAUCGGGUUGUUUGUGAGGCCUAAAAUAAUACAUGUGAACACGCUUCAUAAAUUGGGAUGAGCCGCGUGCAGGGGACUAUUGCUACGUUAACCUUAAUUCCUGCUCUUUUUUCUGGGCUGAGUUGCAUCUUGUUUCUCUCUUUGAAAACUCCCUUCCCCCGUGGCUCGUCAGUUUCCACCAUGCUGUACCUCUGGAUCAUGCUUGAGCUCUGACGUUGUACUGCUCCGUCUCUCUUGGUGGGGGAGCACGAAGGGACCCUCUUCCCUGAACAUCUAUUUCUCUUCCUCAGUCCUGUCUCCUUCAGAUCCCUGCACACAGGUUGUCACUUGUCCAUGAUGAAUGUUUAGUGAAGGGUCUUCUGGAUUCUUGUUCUUCACCCCCUACUGGCGGGGAAUGAGGCCUCUUUCUUCCUUCCUACCUACCUCGAUGCAAAGCAUUCAAUGAACUCCUUCAAAGGAAUCUGAGGAGUCACUUUGUCCUCGUGGGAGCACAUGCUCCCUUCUGGCCUUUGCUCCUUUCGCUGCCUGGCCCAGCUUACCUUGCGUCUUGACAUCAAUCCCUGCAUCUGACACAGCCCCCAUCCGCUGGAGUAUCGGCUUCCUCCGGGCUUUUUCGGUGUGAGGACCAGCCAGCGCUGUCCCCAAGCCUCCCGUGCAGGUGUACAAUGUAGUGAGUCAACAAUUCUCUACAUGACUCCAUUCUCAUCAUGAUUUCUGUUUCCUGGAUGGGCUGUGGCUUCCAGCAGAAUACUGAGUGAUCACUUUGUGAAGGGAGUCUUGGUCCUGAUCCUCAUGAGGUAUUAGUUUAUUGUCCUUACCAGUUUACUAGUUAGUGUGCUCUGAGCUGUUAUUCUGGUCUCAAUGUUCUUGAUCAUAUUAAGAUAUAUGUCAGUUUCAGAAAUGGUCUUGUGUACUUAUCCUGAAUUUUCAGCUUUUUUUUUUUUAAAGUUCAAUUUUUUUUUAAUUUCUAAAAGCCCGUUGCUUUUGUAUUCUGUAUUUUUUUUUGUUUUUCAUGAUCAAAUUCUUCAUAUUCCAUUUAUUCUAUGUCCCUAGUCUCUUCUGAUUUACUCUAUUACUACUUCUAAAAUAAUUUAUCUUUGAAUCCAAAAAGUGUCUCAUGACUGGACGGUACAGACAAGGAGAGGAAAGAUCAAGGGUACCAAAUAAUCUUCGGGUAAAACAUCAAAUGUGACAGAUUUUUUAAAAAUGCCACUUGUUCACUUGAAAAGAAAUUGAUUGAUGACUGGCACACAGAGGAGAAAAGCUGAUAACUACCACUUUGGCUCACCUUUAUGUGCAAGAUACAAUUAAAUUAAAGAGAAAUGAUCACAAAAGCACACCACACACACACACACACACACACACACACACACACACACAAUAAUGGAGUUAUUUCAAAAAGACAGAGGAUCAAAGUGUAAGAGCUCCACUGACUACAGGUGGAAAAUAAAAAAAAAGUAGUAUUGCACUAUGAGCCCAAGUACGAAAUCGGAGUCCAUACUUCUACAAAUAAGUGACUGAAGAAAUAAAUCAAGGGAGGGGGAGGGAGAAGAGACCUAUCUCCUGUGCAGAAGAAAUCUGAAUAAGUUAUGUACAUGCUCAGACUCAAGGAGGUGGAACAUAACUCCCCAUUCCUCAAGUGUCGCCGGACAUGGUGACUUCGUUCCAGAGGGUGCUGUAUGGAAGAGAGGGAAGAAGAGCAACUUCACAGUGGAGAAACCUGGUAGACACCAUCACCUCAGUCAGAACCCUAGAUGCAUCCUCAUGGAGGGACAUUCUACAAAAUACUGACUUGUGGUUGUCAAAGUCACGGCAUACGUGUGAGGAACUGUCACAACCAAGAGGAGCCUAAGGAGACAGGACAACUGACUGUCAGAACGCAAAAAGCAUAUUAUGUAAAAUUCCAUAAAAACUAAGGAAAUGUGAACGAAGCAUAAUCUUGAGUUACUAAGAAUGCAUCAAUAUUGGUUCAUUAGUUGUAACAAAGAUACUAUACUAAUUUAAGGUGUUAGUGAUAGAGGAAACUGGGUGGGAGGUAUAUGAGAACUUUUUUUUUUUUUUUUUUACUAUCUGCAGUUUUUCUGUUAAUACAAAACUGUUCUAAAAAAUAAAGUUUAUUUACUUAUUAAAAUUUUUUUUAACUUUUAUUUAUUAUUGAGAGACAGAGCUUAAACAGGGGAGGGGGCAGAGAGAGAGGGAGACACAGAAUCGGAAGCAGGCUCCAGGCUCUGAGCAGUCAGCACAGAGCCCGACCCUGUGCCUCAACUCACAAACUGCAAGAUCAUGACCUGAGCCGAAGUCGGCCGCUUAACUGACUGAGCCACCCAGGGGCCCCAAUAAAGUUGAUUUAAGAAAUAAUCACACCUUAAUUUCUUGGUGUUCUUUAAGCUGCGAUUACCACACACCAUGGUGGAACACAACUGUAACUAAUGAACGGCUAGCCCUGGUUGGCAUUCCAACCAGCAUCGCAUCUGGGACUGAUUACCAAUGUACCUUUGUCUCCUAGGUGAUUGCUUGGUUAUAGUUCCAUAGAGGGUACUCAGUUAAAUUCUAAAAGCUCCUCUGAGAAAACAGCAAGAACAAAUGGACAUAAUUUGCAGUCGGAAGGGGUUGAGUUAGAGUUCUGGUGUGCUGUGAAGUCAAGCUAUGUGAUGUUCCUAGCUAGGUAUCUUUUAAAGGGUGAGUUGACCAUAGGUCAAUUUGGGUAGCCUGGCUUUAGCACGUCUUCGAGUAAAUCAGGCAAGAAAAUGAACUGUCGGGUGCCUGGGUGGUUCUCUUGGUUAAGCAUCUGACUCUUGAUUUUGGCUCAGGUCAUGAUCUCACAGUGGGAUCAUGUGGGAUCCAGACUCGCGUCGGGCUCUGCCCUGAUAGUGUGGAGCCUGCUUGGGAUUCUCUCUCUCUCUCUCUCUCUCUCUCUCUCUCUCUCUGUCUCUCUCUCUCUCUCUCUCUGCCCCUCCCCCACUUGUGUGCACAUGCUCACACACUCACUCUCUCCCUUGAAAUAAAUAAACAGAAAAAACGAAUUCGUACAGUUUCCAGGAGGCCCUAAGAGUUUUUGUAUCUUAAGCCAAAAAUUUCCAUAAACUAAAAGUUGGUCUAAGUGGUUCCAAUCACAAAGAAAUUGUUCUUCAAAUUGUCUCCAGUCUCUGCCAUUCUCUCCAUCAACACAUGAUUUAUUAAUUUUGUUUCAGAGACUUGAGUUCAGGCUGCAUAAAUCAUGAAUAAAGAUUAGUUUAACAGUCACAAUGCCCCCUGGGACAAUGUUUCAAGUGAAGAAAACUCAAAAUUGUCGCAGUGUGAAAAUAAUAUGACAGUUGUAUCAAUAUUUGCAAACUAAAGUGAUAUUCAGUACCCUUACAGAGGCGGGGAAUAAAUUCUAUUCCUUCUCAUUUUAUGCAAACUCCAGAACUUUCCUUUUUAAUUUUUUAUCAAUAUUUUCCCCUUUGAGAAUGUUUUGACAACAAGUCUCAGUUCACCCUGAUCUGCCUCCAGCUGUUAAGCAAAUCAGACACUGACCUCUUGCUACUGCCUUGAUGACUUAAAUACUUCAGAGAAACAAUAUAUUACCUGGCCCCCAAGCCAUUCACAGUAAUGACAGUUUGCCAUCUUUAUGCAUUCAAAAACGAGAGAACUGUCUGUUAGUGUGGCAAAUACCAUGGUUUUAAUAUUCACAAGUGUAUCACCUUGUUUCCACUGGCUUAUUCUACUUGGCUUUUUAACCCUCAUGAAACUCUAGUUGUUCAUGUACUUAGAUAUGUAACUGUGAUUUAGAAAAAAUGACCAGGUAAUAAGUACUCCGGUUAGAAGCUAAAUACUCACUGGAAUGAGUUAAAAGUGGCUAGUUUUAAGGAGAAAUGAGUCAUUAUUCAGGCAACUUAACUUUCUCUGACUUAUAUUAUUCUCAGGUAGCCGAUGGUGUGGUGAGGACCGACAAUAAGAUCACAGGGUAGAGGCUAUCCUAGUUAUGACUUAGAAGAUCACACGACAGCAAGAUCACAUAGCUAUUCUAGCGAUGACUUCAUACAGUUAAUGGAAUCUCUUGCUUUAAACAUUUAUUCCAAAUGUCUGAAUCCUGGGUGUGCUAGAUGAAGAAAAGAGAGGAAUAGAGUACGUACAAGGGAGCAAACCACAGUCUGUUAGACGAACUUCUCUCUCCACUUCCCGAAUGAUAGAUAUUUUGAUGGAGAGCUUUCAACACGCUCUCUUGGUCAGCAAUGAGGGGCAUUGAUUUAUAUACAGGCAGGGUUUGCACAGAGGGCUGUCAAAAUAAAACUGUAGCGAAUCAUUAGAAAGCUGAAUUCAAUAUGUUAAAUCCCUAAUCAGAGAGGCCAAAACCCAGACUCCGACAUCUGUCUUGGGGAAGGGACCACCACGAGGCUGAUGAAAGAGGGUUCGUGGAAAGGUCAGGAAAAAAAUGCCAACAGUUACACUUACUAUCAUAAAAGAGUGUAGUACUGUUUGUGGUAAGCAAUACAAUUUGUUCCCUUUUUGUCCUAUGUUGUCCCCUAUUCAUUUGAAUAACUAUGUUAUCAAAUCAAUUUCAUUAGCUAGUAUGGGGGAAUGAACAAAACCUGAUUAAAAUUCAAAUUAUAAUCCCAUCAUGAUGUAGUCUGCCCUGGUAUUCUCCGAAUCUAAUAAGAAAUUAUGCCUCAUCAAACAUACAUAAUUUGGCUUGAAGUGGUAUUAGUGGGAAGCCAAAUUUAUAGUCACAAUAAAGUUGUCCGUGCUGGAUAUUUUCAUUUCAUAGCGCAAGAUGCAUUGGGUAACCUAGGUCCCCAGGCAAUCAUCUCAUCAUUCGGCCUCACUCUGGGUGGAGCUUGUUUAUAUCCUAUAAUUACACCAUUAACAGCCACUACUAAAUAUAAACACAAGGAUGGAUAUGAAUGAUUGCUUCACAACUGUGGUGGUGUCACCACACAAUUACAUUGACAGGCUCACUAGUGACAGCCCUGGAACUACCACGGUUACUCCUCCGCAGUGUAAACAAACAGCCAUCUGAACACUUAACAGGAAUACGCAUUGUGUUUCUUUGUCCAAUGAAACAGAGGUGCCAGCAUCACAUGAAGAAGUGAGGACGGGUCUAUGCCGUGAGCCUAGUAGUUCUGCUACACGUGUUAAGAGCCCAGGGGUGGAAGGGGUGCCUGGGUGACUCAGACGGUUAAGUGAGCAACUCUUGGUUUUGGCUCAAGUCAUGACCUCACCACCGUGAGAUGGAGCCCCGUGUCGGGCUCAGUAUGGAGCGCAGAGACUGCUUGGGAUUCUCUCUCUCUGUCCCUCCCCUGCUCAUUCUCUCUUCCUCUGUCUUUCAAAAUGGAUAAACUUAAAAAAAAAAAAAAAAAAAAAAAGAAAAACAAAAGGACCCAGGGGUGGAGGUUCUGGACACACCGCCAACAUCUUAAGAAUUCAUGUCACAGGAGCCUCGCCAUAUGCAUCUGCUGGUUGGUUCUGAAAUCCAGUUAACUGGCUGUGUCCCUGGGGGUUAGUCAUUUCACAUCCAGGGACCUUAACUUCUUCGUGUGGCAAAGGAGAGUAUCAGGGCCAUGUGUUUCUGUACAUAUAAGAUAACUCCAUGCUUUCAGUAACAGCAACAAGAAAACUAAAUAUGAACUUGUGAUUCUGUAAUUUAUUACUGAAUCCAUUUUGUUGUUAUUUAUUUAUUUUUUUUAAUUUUUUUUUUCAACGUUUAUUUAUUUUUGGGACAGAGAGAGACAGAGCAUGAACGGGGGAGGGUCAGAGAGAGAGGGAGACACAGAAUCGGAAGCAGGCUCCAGGCUCUGAGCCAUCAGCCCAGAGCCUGACGCGGGGCUCGAACUCACGGACCGCGAGAUCGUGACCUGGCUGAAGUCGGACGCUUAACCAACUGCGCCACCCAGGCGCCCCUGUUGUUAUUUUUUUUAAUAACAAAAGAUUUCCUUUCUGUCCGUGUGACUGUGGGCAGGUUUGUUGUUCUCUGAGCUUUAAUUUUCUUAUAUACAAAUUAAGAUAAUCACAGCACCUAUCAUGGUUUAUAGACUAUUGUGAGAAUUACCCAGAAAACGUAUGUAACAUUUAGUCCAGUGCGUGGCACAGAGUAGGGACCUGAUAGACAGGUUUUCAUCUGUUUUCUAGCCCUUUUUGUUUUGAUUAUAAACAAGUGAGCAAAGAUUGAAUAGAUUCAUGAUUGUCUACUUACAAGGGAAAGUAUUUUUAUGACCUGUUAGAAAUUUUUGUAUGAAUUCGUUAUCUAGAGAAGCAACAUCUGAAUUUGGGAAAUACUUCAACAGAAAUAAGUGAUCCUAAAACAAUGUAUUUGUCCUUUAAAAAAUAAACUAGGGUAAUACAUCGCCCUUGGUAUUUUUGUCGCAUGAAGCAAGACAGUAUCAGGUACAAUACCCCUAAAAACCAAAAUAGAAGAUUUGACCAAUCUUAGAUAACUUGUAAAAGUUACCGGGUAGGAAAAAAAAAAAAAACCCUUCGGAUGUUACUGCUAAUUAUUGGGGGGCGGGGAAGGGAAGUGCUGCCUUAAAAAGAAAAUUAAAAAGCAAACCAAGUACCUGCAUUUUCUGCUUGAGUAAAUGGCAUAAAAGAUGUUUGCUACAGAGAUUUAUUUAUUAGUUUGAACUAACAGAAGAUCAGUUUGAUCUAAGACACUGAAAAUUUUUAGAACUGGAAGCUGACAGAAAUUUAAACUUAGUUUUUAAAUUGGUGAAUCUUUCAAGAAACAAAAAAUCUAGGGAGUUUUUUCAGCAGUUGAAGAAAAGCAAGCAGAGAA